ACCAUUCCUGUCAUCGUCACGCUUCAGCUUUAUAGUUGGUGGUCAUCUUAAGUGCAUUAUAUCUCGAUUGCCACGUGAAACAACAUUUGAGUUUAAAAAGCAAAAAAAAUGCUUGAAGUAUGUUAAUGGCGAAGAUAUCCCAGUUGAAAUUAAGGAAGUGCUCUAGCAUGCUACUGCACUCUUCCUGGAUCGUCAUUUAACUCUUACCAAGCUAUCUGAAUUUGGGAUUGAAAAUAUGAAGAAGUUGGAAGUUUGUGUAUUGGGGGAAUGUAAGGAGAUCCAAACCCUUGUAGAUGGAGCUGAAAUCAAUAAGCAAGAAGAUAAUGCUAGAGAUGUCAAUGAAGAUACUGUACUUGGAUCACUACAGUACUUGAGUAUUCAUUAUAUGAAGAAUUUAAGGAGCUUCUGGAAAGGGCCAGUUCAAAAGGGUUGUCUAUCCAGCCUAAAGUCCUUGGCAUUGCAUACAUGUCCCCAAUUGACAACCAUUUUCACUUUGGAUUUGCUUGAAAAUCUCAACAUCUUAGAGGAGCUUGUGAUUGAAAAUUGUCCUAAAAUCAACAGCCUUGUAACCCAUGAGCUUCCUGCUGAAGAAAUACAGUUGUGCUCAAUAGAGCAUCUUCCAAAGUUGAAGAAGAUAUCUCUUCAUUAUAUGCAUGAAUUGGUCAGUAUUUCUAGUGGUUUAUGCAUUGCACCAAAAGUAGAAUGGAUGAGCUUCUAUGGUUGCCCAAACCUCAAAACUCUUUCUCCCAUGGAUGUUUCAAGUAGCAAUUUAAAGGAGAUCAUAGGAGAGGUGGACUGGUGGAAUGAAUUGACUUGGAAUGUUCAGAAAGAAAAUCUGGAUUCUAUAUUUGUCCCCGUUAAAGGAGUCACAGAAUUGAUGAAUCAGAUAGCAGAAAUUGGUGAUCAGCUUCAGCACUGAAGCAAGAGAGAAGCCUUCUCAACAUCCAGAUUGAGGAGACUCCCUGAACAUGGUGGAAAGAGAAAUGAAGUGGCUACUCUCUGGACUGGAAGCUGAGUUAUUCAUGCUUGUAUAAUUAUGUCUGAAUUUUUAGAACUUCUGAGAAUCUUGCUGAUUGUUUUUUCAAUUAUUGUCUGUAGUUUUGAUGCCUUGUUUAGUUGCCAUGAAUGUGGAAAAGGGAAGGGGAUUCGGAAUCUUCCAAAAACUCUGCUUGAACUAUCAAAACUUGCUUAUUCUCUGAUCACUUGGAAUAAAUUGUAAUGUAGACUUGCAGUAUGCCUUUGCGUGCAGAA